AUACAACUGUAGAGCCACUCUGCUCAACUCAGCAAUGGAAACCCUAGACUCAGCAGUAUCAACUCCUUCAAGAACCUCCGAUUCUAAGCCUCAAACUUCAUCUCCAUUGCCACCAUCGGUGCUCAGACUAUGGAGGCCAGCCGCGCAACGGAAUUUGCGGAACCAGUGGUCACAAUUGGUUUCGUGCAAAAAUCGAUGGUUCUCUGCUUCUUCCGUGGGAAGAUCUCACGCAACUGCACUAGUCAAUUUUCAUCUUUCCCAAAGGUACAUGCCUGAUAUGAAAUUAGGUGUUCUGAGUGAUAUGCCUGAUAUAAAAAAGAGAGCUUGUUUGAAACUAUUUAAGCGGCAGGAACUGCAAAGGAGCAAAUUAGUGUUGUCUUAUAAGGACAUGGUGGGCAUUGUAAGUGACAUGAUCAAUGUUAGCAGAUCAAUGAAGUGUUUUUUCAAAGGAUCAAACAAUAGUCCGCUGUUACAAUUUUCUUACAACUCUGCAGACCAGAGUGAUUCUGGAGAGGGUGGAGAGGGUGGUGGAAUUCCAGUAUUUACAUUUUAUUCAAUCACUUCGCAUGAGAAAUUUGCUGAGGAACUGAUUCAGAUGUUUAGCUUGGAACUAUGUUUGAAGCGAUUACUUGUUCUUGAAUUUAUGUCCAUUGGUUAUGACACUUCAGCAGUAAAACAGUUGCAUUGGUCAACUCAGCUUUAUGAUGAAGAAUUUAAAGAUUUGAGAGACUGCAAUCUGUACUGUGAAGAGACUCAUGGGCCAGUUCCACCAAGAUUAAGGGAUGGGAAAUCUGACAUUGAUGCUUUAAGAUUUGACAACCAACCCAACCCUGAGGUUUUACAGGCGUUUGCAAAUUGCAUGGACUGAGCCUUCUUUUUUGGGGAGGGACAGGCUAACUUGAGUCUGGUUUAUUUAACAACAUGGCUUGCAGAGGCGAACAUAGACACUCCCAAAGUGAAUGAGAUAUUUGCAAUUGUUGGGGAGGAAAUGCAAGUUAGCGUAUGUUAAAGAAAGAUACCGUCAUCAGCUCUGAAGAACAUUGAACGACAUCGUGUUGAAGUCAAAAUGGCCGAAUUAAUAGACCUUCACACUCUUUUUAGGCAUUGUCAUGCUUGGCCAUACGAAAAUGAUAAUUAUGACAUGUAGAUUAGUAAUUUUAGUCUCACAACACUAACAAUUGUGGACAGAUCACAAGGCAGACAAAAUCUUCAUAUGCAGAUGGAAUUAGUUCAAAGGAAAGGCAAACCUAACAAAAUUGGUGUCUGCAAGGAUAGUAUGCUCAAUAAUAUAUGCAAAAAUGUGGGAGGUACUAAACUAUUUUUCUAUGGUGAUUUUCCCCCCCGUUUUACCCUUUAGGAAAGUUUUAUACAAUUUUUUAAAAGAAUAACUGAACUUGAAGCCUUGAACAACUGUAACUUACUACUUUCAUUGUCAAAUUAGAGUGAGCCUACAGACAGCAACGUAUGGGUUUGUAAUUCGGAUUCUGGAUUGGAUUGAUGUGGUCCCACAGCUGAUAUAGAAAGAAAUUUAAAUAAAAUGCUGCCAAAAACUAAUCUUGGUAUGUUAUGCCAAUACCAAUUUAAUUUAUGUAUAUUUAUUA